rnacentral:rRNA from 1 species
UACGUAGGUGGCAAGCGUUGUCCGGAUUUAUUGGGUUUAAAGGGUGCGUAGGUGGUCUAUUAAGUCAGUGCUGAAAUAUCCCGGCUUAACCGGGAGGGUGGCAUUGAUACUGAUGGACUUGAGUAAAGUUGAGGUUGGCGGAAUUGACGGUGUAGCGGUGAAAUGCUUAGAUAUCGUCAAGAACACCGAUAGCGAAGGCAGCUAACUAAGCUUUAACUGACACUGAUGCACGAAAGUGUGGGGAUCAAACAGG